AUGCUCACGUCAGCAGCACAUGUAUUAAAAUUGGAACAAUACAGAGAACAUUAGCAAAGUCCCUGUGCAAGGAUGACAGAAAACAAUAUGGAGAUUCCUCAAAAACCU